GAGUCCAAGUUGGCAUCUUGUCGAGACUUUGUGUACGACACAUCCGUCAACAGACCGGCACUUACAGUUGGUCCUGGCAGUCCUUCGGGUUUAGAUGCAGGUGCUGAGCUCCAGGCGGUGGGCCUGAGCCCUCCUUCUCAGUAUGACAGUUUGGUGAAACGGUUAGAGUUUGGACCAGCUCCUCCAAGAGGGAUCUCCCAUGGUGCCCAGUCUCCACAGGGAGGGGUCAAGAUACUGCUAUGAGAGGGGAGGGGAAAAAACCCUUCCUUUCUCUCUCCCUCCUGACCUUCCUCAUAUGACACCCCUGGACUUUGAGCUGUCUUCCUUGUCCUGCUGAUUGUCCUUGCACCGUGCCCUCACUGAGCAAAGAGAGAGGCUCCGCCCAUUAACGCACUGACUUCUGCUCUCUCAGGCUUGUACCACACCAUAUCACAGGAGGCAGCACUACAUCCUGUGGACCCUACCAUUCGCAGCAUAUCUUCCACUAUAUCUCUGAUGCUGUGGUGGCUAACUUCUUAAAAAAACAAAAAAACAAAAACAAACUCAUGAUGGACCUUCUGUGUUUUCUGUGGUUGGAUCAAGCACAGCAGGGCUUUGUAAACAUUUCUGCUCCUACAUCACUAAUCUAGUGCACUAGCCUAUUAAUCAUUAUCCAUGUAAGGAACAGUUUUAAUAAUUAAAAGCACUGGAAAGUGACCCUGGUAUAGGGACCAGAAUCUGGAGUAUUGUUUAUGGAAAAGUUGAGCAAAUAUUGUGUUUGUGACCAAGUCAAAACCAAAGCUGUGAUAAAUGGGAAAACUGAAAAUAACAAAAGCAAUAGGUUUGUUUUUCUUUGAGAUGUAUAUGAAAAACAUGGUUGAGCUUUGUCAUUGGCCUUUUCUGUGUUUAUCGUUUCCCAUCAUGUCUUGAAGAACACAGAUUGAUAUUUUGGUUUAAAAAUAUUUCAGACUGGGUGACUGAAUGAGCUGACAAUGAAUUACUUCCUGCCAUGAAUUGGCGUUAGUAUUUCAGCCAGCCUUCAUCACUGCUGUUACUUCUUCAGUUUUUGGGCUCUUGCUUUGCUGCAGUGCCACGGCUGAUCCAGGUGUUAAAAUACCGAAACAGAUCAUCGUCUCUGUCAGAUUUUCAUCGAGAGGGGUGCCACUUGACUUCAUGGUGGUUAAAGUAAUAGCAUUUAGUAUGCCCCCCCAACCCCAUUUCGUUAUCAUUCGGGUCCUUCCUAUUACCUCCCUCCAACCAUUUCACACACCAACUAUUUUCUGCUUUACUGGGCUUAUAAAAGAUAAAAUUUAUCAUGCUGAAGAUUUAUGAUCUAAUGUUAUCAUAAACCUUUCUACUGAUGGUAGCUGACAGUAUAUUUUAGACAGGCACUUGAAUGUAUAGUAUCUCAUUCUGCCACUUAGACUUACAUGGUGGACAUAUGGUAAACAUGAUAAGCAAUAAUAGAUUUUGAAAUGGUCAAAUUAGCACUGUUCGUAUAUUUGUGUAGGUAUAAAGAAGACUUUGAAAUUAGGAAAUGGAGCGAUUCUGAUGUGACAGCUAUGCUUUUCCCUGAAAUGUUUCUGUUUAAAUGGAUCUUGUCACUACUGCCAUCCAGCAGCUCAUUAAGCAGCUCAUUAAGCAAAUAUUAAAGUUGCAUAUCUAAAUAUGACCUUUAUACAGUAGCUAUCACUGUAUACUGCACUGUAGCCUUUGUGUAGGAAUUAACUUGUAACAUCUGAAAUCUGGAGGUCCUCCUGUUUGCAGGACAGUUUAAAGGGGGCCUGUAAUGCUUGUUUCUACAGUCAUAUUAAUGUUCUUGAGUGUAACCGAGGCGCUAUGAAGGUCACACAGUUAAAAAUAAUCAUCAUUUGUCUCAUUCAGGACCUUUUUACAGUCAGAGUUUAUCCACUGCCUGAAACAAGUUAUUGUAGGUCUUAAUUUAGGCCAGCUUUUUUUUUUUUUCUCUCUUAUGUCUGCUCCCUCCUAAACGGAAGUUUUGAACCUCACUGAAAUGAAGACAUUAAGGAUAUCCUCUUUAACGACAUACAGAGUAGACAGAAAAUAGUCUUUAGAGCAGGCUUGAACUAGAAAUAUUGACUCACAGGGAAUCCUAACACAUGCUGACCUCAUGAUUUGAAACUUUGGCCUUGUUUCGUCUAUAAGUGUGACAGAAAGUAAAGGGAAGCAUAACUGGUCCCCUUUAAUCUUCCUUGAGCUACUUCCAGUUGUAAUCCUUGUAAUCACUGUGUACUGGCUGUUUGUUUAGGACGCCUGCAGCUGCUUCUGUAUGCUGACUUUAAACUGUUUGUGCCUGAGGUACUAUACCCAACUUUCGUCCUGCUGGUUUGCAGUCGUUUUUUCUUUUUCUACUAAACUGAGCAGAUGUGAAUAAUUUGAGUGAGUUACUGACCAAGACAGAAACAUUAAAAGGAGAAAGUCAAAA